rnacentral:lncRNA from 1 species
UGCAGUAAAAUGACAAAAAUAUUGUCAAUACAUAAUCACAUUGAACCAAAAGGGGCAAAUUUUUAUGUAUUAUCUGUCAUCUGAGAGGCAUGUAAUUACCAUACUUCCAAAGAUACAUUGAUUGGCGAAGAACUACUCUUCGAUACUAGUAGACCAUUACAAAUCUAGUCAAGAGUUCGUCAAGAGCACUUAGGGACACAAUAAAUAGUGUAAAAAAGACUUCUAAACUCCAAAGAAGAUAUACAAAACUAAAUUCAGAAACUAUAUUCACUUUUUUUCAGGUGCCCAUGUACUUUGAGAUAAGAAUCAUUUGA